GACGAACGCUGGCGGCGUGCUUAACACAUGCAAGUCGAACGGAAAGGCCCUGCUUUUGUGGGGUGCUCGAGUGGCGAACGGGUGAGUAACACGUGAGUAACCUGCCCUUGACUUUGGGAUAACUUCAGGAAACUGGGGCUAAUACCGGAUAGGAGCUCCUGCUGCAUGGUGGGGGUUGGAAAGUUUCGGCGGUUGGGGAUGGACUCGCGGCUUAUCAGCUUGUUGGUGGGGUAGUGGCUUACCAAGGCUUUGACGGGUAGCCGGCCUGAGAGGGUGACCGGCCACAUGGGGACUGAGAUACGGGCCAGACUCCUACGGGAGGCAGCAGUGGGGAAUAUUGCACAAUGGGCGGAAGCCUGAUGCAGCAACGCCGCGUGCGGGAUGACGGCCUUCGGGUUGUAAACCGCUUUCGCCUGUGACGAAGCGUGAGUGACGGUAAUGGGUAAAGAAGCACCGGCUAACUACGUG
rnacentral:rRNA from 1 species